UGUGCUAAUACCGGAUAAGUCUUUACGGAGAAAGCUUUAUGCACCAUUGGAUGAGCCUGCACUUGAUUAGUUUGUUGGUGGGGUAAUGGCCUACCAAGACUGUGAUCAAUAGCUGAUUUGAGAGGAUGAUCAGCCACAUUGGGACUGAGACACGGCCCAAACUCCUACGGGAGGCAGCAGUGGGGAAUCUUGCACAAUGGAGGAAACUCUGAUGCAGCGAUGCCGCGUGAGUGAAGAAGGCCUUUGGGUUGUAAAGCUCUUUCGUCGGGGAAGAAAAUGACUGUACCCGAAUAAGAAGGUCCGGCUAACUUCGUGCCAGCAGCCGCGGUAAUACGAAGGGACCUAGCGUAGUUCGGAAUUACUGGGCUUAAAGAGUUCGUAGGUGGUUGAAAAAGUUGGUGGUGAAAUCCCAGAGCUUAACUCUGGAACUGCCAUCAAAACUUUUCAGCUAGAGUACGAUAGAGGAAAGCAGAAUUUCUAGUGUAGAGGUGAAAUUCGUAGAUAUUAGAAAGAAUACCAAUUGCGAAGGCAGCUUUCUGGAUCAUUACUGACACUGAGGAACGAAAGCAUGGGUAGCGAAGAGGAUUAGAUACCCUCGUAGUCCAUGCCGUAAACGAUGUGUGUUAGACGUUGGAAAUUUAUUUUCAGUGUCGCAGCGAAAGCGAUAAACACACCGCCUGGGGAGUACGACCGCAAGGUUAAAACUCAAAUGAAUUGACGGGGACCCGCACAAGUAGUGGAGCAUGUGGUUUAAUUCGAAGAUUCGCGCA
rnacentral:rRNA from 1 species